GCCCUUUUAACUAAGCGGUAGAGUCACGCUCUUUAAACUAAGAAUAUAGGCGUAAGUCAUCGGUUAAAAUCCGAGAAAGGGCUU